GAUAAUAAGACUGCUACCAGGUUGAAAAUCCUUUAUGCUAGAUACUGCAUGAUUCAAACUCUCGUAUAGAGAUCCUAAGAUGAGCUUACUUAGGCAUAUGUCCCUCCCUUCAUGCAACUGGAUAGCUAAAGUGGUAAAUUUCUUGGGAAUUUGAAUCGAUCUUGAGCAGAAAAUAUACAUGGAUAGCCAAUAAGUCAAGA
rnacentral:lncRNA from 1 species